rnacentral:rRNA from 1 species
UGGUGGUGUGAAUUGUCUGGUUAAUUCCGUUAACGAACGAGACCUCAGCUUAUUAAUUGGAGUACGGUAAUUCACGUUACCGGGCUUUUCUUAGAAGGACAAUUCGGGUUUACCGGAUGGAAGUUUGAGGCAAAAACAA